rnacentral:rRNA from 1 species
AUUGAACGCUGGCGGCAUGCCUUACACAUGCAAGUCGAACGGCAGCACGGGAGCAAUCCUGGUGGCGAGUGGCGAACGGGUGAGUAAUAUAUCGGAACGUGCCCAGUCGUGGGGGAUAACGUAGCGAAAGCUACGCUAAUACCGCAUACGAUCUAUGGAUGAAAGCGGGGGAUCGCAAGACCUCGCGCGAUUGGAGCGGCCGAUAUCAGAUUAGGUAGUUGGUGAGGUAAAGGCUCACCAAGCCGACGAUCUGUAGCUGGUCUGAGAGGACGACCAGCCACACUGGGACUGAGACACGGCCCAGACUCCUACGGGAGGCAGCAGUGGGGAAUUUUGGACAAUGGGCGCAAGCCUGAUCCAGCAAUGCCGCGUGCAGGAUGAAGGCCUCGGUGUAACGUAGC